AGAAAGAUUCCGGUUGAUCCUGCCGGAGGCUACUGCUAUCGGGGUCCGACUAAGCCAUGCGAGUUGAGAGGGGUAAGCCCUCGGCAUAUUGCUCAGUAACACGCGGAUAACCUGCCCUUGGGUUUGGGAUAACCCCGGGAAACUGGGACUAAUACCGGAUAGAUCAAAGAUACUGGAAUGUUCUUUGUUCGAAAGCUCCGGCGCCCAAGGAUGGGUCUGCGGCCUAUCAGGUAGUAGUGGGUGUAACGUACCUACUAGCCUACGACGGGUAAGGGUUGUGAGAGCAAGAGCCCUGAGAUGGAUUCUGAGACAUGAAUCCAGGCCCUACGGGGUGCAGCAGGCGCGAAAACUUUACACUGCGGGAAACCGCGAUAAGGGGACCCCGAGUGCCAGCACCUAGUGCUGGCUGUCCAGCUGUUCAAAAAACAGUUGUUAGCAAGGGCCGGGCAAGACCGGUGCCAGCCGCCGCGGUAACACCGGCGGCCCGAGUGGUAGCCGUUAUUAUUGGGUUUAAAGGGUCCGUAGCCAGCCUAUUAAGUCUCUUGGGAAAUCUGGCGACUCAAUCGUCAGGCGUUCAAGAGAUACUGGUAGGCUUGGGACCGGGAGAGGUGGGAGGUACUCCAGGGGUAGGGGUGAAAUCUCGUAAUCCUUGGGGGACCACCGAUGGCGAAGGCAUCCCACCAGAACGGGUCCGACGGUGAGGGACGAAAGCUGGGGGCACGAACCGGAUUAGAUACCCGGGUAGUCCAGGGUGUAAACGCUGCUCGCUUGAUGUUAGUCGGGCUCCGAGCCCGACUAGUGUCGGAGAGAAGUUGCUAAGCGAGCUGCCUGGGGAGUACGGUCGCAAGACUGAAACUUAAAGGAAUUGGCGGGGGAGCACCGCAACGGGUGGAGCGUGCGGUUUAAU
rnacentral:rRNA from 1 species